CAGGUUCAUAUCGGUGAAAAAGGAGUAUCGCUGGAGCAUUUGUGUUUAUCCGGCUUCCUGUGACUUCCUCGCAGAUCUCCUCCACUUGGUUCCAGAAUAGGGUAUAUUGAUCCCAUUUACAUUUAAGGAUAUCACAUUUAAGUUAUGCAUCAUAGAUUCAGGUGUUGAUACCUCGAUCCAUCCAUCUUUUCCGGGGAGCGGUGGGAUCUGGGGUGUCUGUGAGAAUCUCAGCCAUUCCGUCAGGUCUGGUUCCUCGAUGCCGCAUGCUCUGCAGAAAGGUGUUAUGUCUU